UGAUAGUCUGCCUAAAGAACCCCUGCUUCUACUCUUUAUCGGCUCCACUCGAUCUGCUGCUGCUGCUUAGGGCUCACUGUCGAACCACACCUACUUUCACGAUCUCCGUUUCGUCCAUAGGGCCUUUAAAGGCCUCAAAUAGGAUUUAGAUCAGAGAAAUACUUCUAUCAGAACUCCAGAACCUCCCCAAGCCAUCAGAUCCCGAUCGUGACCCAUGUUGACCUUCCGAUCGCAAAAUACAUGAGUUUCCAAUCCACCAAAAUACCGUGAGCCAUAAGAAAUGAGCGAGAAACCUCCCACCGGUCCAUGUGGACCAUGAGAAAUCGGGCGAGAAAUACCCGAUCGGUCCACAUGACACACCCGUGAGCCCAGUCCAUGCGACACGCCC
rnacentral:lncRNA from 1 species